rnacentral:rRNA from 1 species
CCUACGGGAGGCAGCAGUGAGGAAUAUUGGUCAAUGGGCGCGAGCCUGAACCAGCCAAGCAGCGUGAAGGAGGAAUGCACUAAGGGUUGUAAACCUCUUUUAUAAAGGAAUAAAGAGAGGCACGUGUGCCUGGUUGAAUGUACUUUAAGAAAAAGCAUCGGCUAACUCCGUGCCAGCAGCCGCGGUAAUACGGAGGAUGCGAGCGUUAUCCGGAUUUAUUGGGUUUAAAGGGAGCGUAGAUGGGUUGUUAAGUCAGCGGUGAAAGGUUGGGGCUCAACCCUCAAAUUGCCUUUGAUACUGGCAGCCUUGAGUACAGUUGAGGUAGGCGGAAUUCGUGGUGUAGCGGUGAAAUGCUUAGAUAUCACGAAGAACUCCGAUUGCGAAGGCAGCCUACUGGCCUGCCACUGACGUUGAUGCUCGAAAGUGUGGGUAUCAAACAGGAUUAGAUACCCUUGUAGUC